CCUACGGGUGACAGCAGUGAGGAAUAUUGGUCAAUGGACGAGAGUCUGAACCAGCCAAGUAGCGUGAGGGAUGACGGCCCUAUGGGUUGUAAACUUCUUUUAUAAGGGAGUAAAAAGUGGCACGUGUUCCGUUUUGAGUGUACUCUAUGAAUAAGAAUCGGCUAACUCCGUGCCAGUAGCCGCGGUAAUACGGAGGAUCCGAGCGUUAUCCGGAUUUUUUGGGUUUAAAGGGAGCGCAGAUGGGAUGACAAGGCCGAUGUCAAAGUUUGGGGCUCAAACGUAAGCUUGCAUUUGAUACUGGCUGUCUUGAGUACAGGAGAGGUAGGCGGAAUUCGGGGUGUAGCGGUGAAAUGCGUAGAUAUCACGAAGAACCCCGAUGGCGAAGGCAGCUUACUGAACUGUAACUGACACUGAUGCUCGAAAGCGUGGGGAGCAAACAGGAUUAGAUACCCGUGUAGUC
rnacentral:rRNA from 1 species